AUCCCUCAAGGGGUAUAUAUAUACAGUUACAGAGAGGUGAGGGAAUCGUGGGGGAGAGCCACAACGGACGUGAGCCGGGCAUGCAGCGCAUGCGGUCGUGGAGGAGAAGGACUCGGGCAGGCCGUUAGCCACGCCGUGGGGAUCCUGAUGACGUGUUCCAACAUUAUUGACCUUAUAUUUCAAACAUAUUUGAGAAGUGUCGAUAGAAACAAAAUAAAGUGUUUAGUUAUUUUUGAUCAGACAAUAACGGAACAGACUUUUUAAGUGUAUAGGAAACCCGUUUGUAGAUGCUCUUAGUCAUUCUAUGCCGGUGUUAAUUUUUACUUCCCGACUAAAUCGCAGAUUAUUUGCACCAGUACACAACCUACCAAAAGUUAAUCAUAUUUUGAUUGAGAUUAUUCAAGAGCAUCUUCUACUAUCUUUCCUACUAAUAAAACAAAUGAAAAAGGGUGAGAUGAUGUUAACAGGACGGCAUGAAUCGAAGAAUCAUAGUGGUGAACACCAAAUUAUAGAAAAACAUUCGAUUUAGCUAAAUCACAUCUAAAUGCGUUCUAAGUAUAAUAAACUUGAAUUCUAUGACUUUAAUUUUACGUGAAGAUUAAUGUAGUGUUUAUUUUUUAUUUUUUAUGUUUAAAUUAAACCAUUUAGAUAUGCAAUAAUAAUGACACAUUUAGAUGCACCCUAAACAGACACAAACAAUAUGUCUUUUUU
rnacentral:lncRNA from 1 species